GUGGGGAAUAUUGGACAAUGGGCGAAAGCCUGAUCCAGCCAUGCCGCGUGUGUGAAGAAGGUCUUCGGAUUGUAAAGCACUUUAAGUUGGGAGGAAGGGCAGUAAGUUAAUACCUUGCUGUUUUGACGUUACCGACAGAAUAAGCACCGGCUAACUUCGUGCCAGCAGCCGCGGUAAUACGCAGGGUGCAAGCGUUAAUCGGAAUUACUGGGCGUAAAGCGCGCGGAGGUGGUUUUGUAAGUUGGAGGUGAAAUCCCCGGGCUCAACCUGGGAACUGCCUCAAAAACUGCAUGACUAGAGUACGGUAGAGGGUAGUGGAAUUUCCUGUGUAGCGGUGAAAUGCGUAGAUAUAGGAAGGAACACCAGUGGCGAAGGCGACUACCUGGACUGAUACUGACACUGAGGUGCGAAAGCGUGGGGAGCAAACAGGAUUAGAUACCCCGGUAGUCC
rnacentral:rRNA from 1 species